GAUGAACGCUAGCGGCAGGCCUAACACAUGCAAGUCGAGGGGUAGAGGAAGCUUGCUUUCUUGAGACCGGCGCACGGGUGCGUAACGCGUAUGCAAUCUACCUUAUACAGAGGGAUAGCCCAGAGAAAUUUGGAUUAAUACCUCAUAGUAUUAUGAAAUCGCAUGGUUUUAUAAUUAAAGUUCCAACGGUAUAAGAUGAGCAUGCGUCCCAUUAGUUAGUUGGUAAGGUAACGGCUUACCAAGACAAUGAUGGGUAGGGGUCCUGAGAGGGAGAUCCCCCACACUGGUACUGAGACACGGACCAGACUCCUACGGGAGGCAGCAGUGAGGAAUAUUGGUCAAUGGACGCAAGUCUGAACCAGCCAUGCCGCGUGCAGGAUGACGGUCCUAUGGAUUGUAAACUGCUUUUAUACAGGAAGAAACACUCCCUCGUGAGGGAGCUUGACGGUACUGUAGGAAUAAGAAUCGGCUAACUCCGUGCCAGCCGCCGCGGUAACAC
rnacentral:rRNA from 1 species